rnacentral:rRNA from 1 species
AAUCAACGCUGGCGGCGUGCCUAACACAUGCAAGUCGCACGAAGAAAGUGGAGCAAUCCAUGAGUACAGUGGCGCACGGGUGAGUAACACGUGAAUAAUCUACCUCCGAGUGGGGAAUAACCUAGAGAAAUCUGGGCUAAUACCGCAUAACACUUACGAGUCAAAGCAGCAAUGCGCUUGGAGAGGAGUUCGCGGCAGAUUAGUUAGUUGGCAGGGUAAUGGCCUACCAAGACGAUGAUCUGUAUCCGGCCUGAGAGGGCGCACGGACACACUGGAACUGAAACACGGUCCAGACUCCUACGGGAGGCAGCAGUGGGGAAUUUUGCGCAAUGGGGGAAACCCUGACGCAGCAACGCCGCGUGGAGGAUGAAAUCCCUUGGGAUGUAAACUCCUUUCGAUCGGGAAGAUUAUGACGGUACCGAUAGAAGAA